rnacentral:sRNA from 14 species
GUAAAACAGAGACAACAGGAGAUCGACCGUACACCGUUCGUUUUUUUCGCCGACUUGGAUUUUAUUGUGUUAUUCUGCAACUGCUCUACUAGUGAUUUAAUCGAAAAUUCGAAAAUGCGAAAAAUAAUAAUAAUAAUAAAUUAAAUAUGCAAAAUUAUGUUAUUAUCAUGAAAAGUACCCAAAGUAUUAUCAGAGAUCUAUGAGUUCAUGUGUUAUUUAAGGUUUAAAACGCAGAAAAACAUUGUGAAAGAUUUGUGAAAAUUUUCUACAGUUUCGUGAGAGUGUAUGUGUAUGACGAAAAUCAGCAGCAGCAGCACAACAACAACAACAACAUCUAGUUGAAUUGAGUUGUUUUCUCCCCGUACACAAAUACCACACACACAUUGGUGUACACGGAACGCGGUCGGUCAGAGAGUCGUCAUCCGUCAUCUUCUGGACGCAAUAAAAAAAACUAAGCCAAAAGAAAGAAAAUUCAAAAACAAAAAAAAAAAAACGGAAAAUUAAAAAGCAAAAUAAAGAAAAUUCGUGAGGCAAAAGAAGAAACAUUAAUAUCGUUCAAUAGUAAUAGAAAACGAGUAUUUUUCAAACGGCCAGUCGAACGGUCGUUAAACAACAACACACGGCAAAGGUGUCAAAACGGUGUGGAGAGCUGCUCCCUCCCCUCGAUUUUAAGUAUUUGUGUAAUAAUGAACGAGUUUUUUGUCUUGAUUUGUUUGCUGUAUUACCAUUAAAUCGUUCGUAUCGUAUCUUGUCGUCGUGUCGCGCUCGUUGUAUAGGUAAAAAAUUAUAUUAACAUUAAAAAAAAUGUUUGUGUGAUGUGUUGUUCCUGUGUCGUUUUCGGUGUAUGUAAAUGCGUAUGAUGUUGGCUAAUUUCAUUUAACAAUUAUUGUUAUUGUACACAAAAUAGAGAGCAUAUUGUGUUGCUAUUCUCAAAAAAAUAACAGCCAUUUAGUUUAAUAGAAUUGAAAUAAAAACGCUAAACAAAAAAUCGAUUCCAUCUAUACGAAAGGAAAACAACAGAAAUUCAGUGAAGAAAUGUGUGUAUAAUUUUCAUCACCUGCUCCAAAAAUAACAACAACAACAAUAAAACACCUAUGUUUUGUAUAAAAAAACAUCUCAAAAGUGAUACACAGUGUUGCAUUUUUCGGUUUUUGGCUGCCCAUCAAACUGGGAUUGUUUGUUGUACAACUUUUAAUAACAACAAUAACAAAAAGAGUAGCAACAGCAGCAAUCAUUAUGGAUUAAACCUUGGAUUGUUAUAUUCGUUCCCUGGCCAAAAGAUAUACACAAAAACAAAAGUUUAACAAACAUCAUCAUUAAAAUUUCGUUAUUUUUGGAUUAUUACAAGUCUAUUUAACUGGCAAUUGUAUUACCAAACUGAUAAGAAGUCGGGAAGAAAAGAAGGAAAAGUAACAAGAACAGCAACAACAACUGGAAAAUAUUUGCAUGUAAAACGCAAAAACCACAAAGCCAGCCAACUUACCAGCCAGCCAGCAAUACAUUGGGCACAGACAACCCAUCCUCAUUUUCUUGAUGCGCAGCAAAAAAAGCAAAGAAUUUGCGCCGUGCCAGAAAACUCUAGAAAAUAUUUGAAUGAAAACAAUCCAAGGGAUAAGUCAAGAAUAAAACGCAGACAGAUCCUGUAAGAGAUUGGGCAAAACAAAAGGAGAAAAAAAUAGCAUCACCAAAAAAACAAGGAUUAAGGACAAAACAGUUUUCCCAGAAAUGUUCCUAAGCUAGAAUCGUAAAAAAUAGUAAGCAAGAAGUAAAACUACAUAAACUGCAACAACAAAUAUUCUGUAAAUGGAAAAAAUCAUCCUGCAUAGCAUACAAUAGACUUCACAAUAAACGCCGAAAUACCAACAGUAAAAAUUUCAAAACAACCAAAAAAUCCAGCCAUAGCAGCUCUGACAACGGUGAGAGCUCU